AGCCAGAGGCAAGACAGAGAAAGAAACAGCAGCAGAGCCUGUCCUAAUGCUUCACGGACACUUGACUGGAAAGAGGAUCGAAACAUUCUUGCUAACUCCAUUCUGGAGUUGGGAGAAGUAAAUCGGGCUUGCAGGAGGACCAAAUGCAGUCAGGACCAGCAGUUUUCUCUGCCAGCACCGCAUGACAGAUGAGGGUCACAAGCUAGGUAGACCUCACAGCCAUAUUGAAGGUUCCACACACUCCGUACCAGCUAUAACACUAUAUUUUUUUCUCUUCCUCAGUCAAGAAAGCACACAAGAAUAUGAGUCAGCCAUUUCCAUCAGAUGCAUGAGGUGAAAACAAACAUGAACAUCAAGUUGGAUCAAAGAGGCAAUAACUUUCACAAUAUGUGGUUACCUGAGUGGGGACGCAUUUGUUCUGAGAAACAGAAGGCCCACCUGAAAGGAAGUCUGAGAUCUUUCCUCCAGGUGCUGACACUCUUAUUGCAAAAGUCUGAGUCCACACUCACAAAUCAUCCUUUUUUCCUUUGAAACAUCAUCAUCUUUCCCAAGACUUUCCUUUUUGCCCAGUCCCCCAAGUCUGAGACUGGGUCAUCUCCCCAUAGCCUGUUUCUUCCUGGGUCCCUAGAGGUGCCAGAAACGUUGGAGGUGCAUCUAGGGAGCACUUGAGAGGAGAAGACCCAAUACUGUAUGACAGGAAUCACAGCACAUUCCAAAACCUGCCAAGAGACUCCAUUAUGCUCUGGAAAGAGAUCACAGUCUCCAAGCCUCUCCCCAUAAUAGUGGGAAGAAGCACUCCCGCCCAGAUGGAAUGUUUUCUAUUCUACCUAACCCACAGCCACACGCUGCCAUUUUCCCCACAGACUAUUGCUUCAUGUUCAUGAAUGGAAAAAAGGGGAGAGUUGAGUUGCUGCAGGGAAUGAAAGUUUCUUCAUAGAUUACUUUCAAGUAUGUCAACCUGGGACUUCUGUGUCCCACACGUCCUUCACUUUCAUACAUCAAAAUGUGGUAGCCUGAGGCUACCCACAAGGUCAUCUAACCUGAGAUUCCCAAGGCAGAUGACAGAGCCUGCCUGUGUGUUCCUAGCACAUGGCACACCUAUGUCUGACAAAAGUGCUAACUAUUGUAACUUCAUCAUUAGUGUUAUAAGAGAUUAUUUUUAACUUGUAUUGAAAUAAAUAAUGAAGUAGACC
ensembl:antisense Gm37679 predicted gene, 37679